UCUCAUCUUUAUUCUGAGACAACACAGGAUGGAGCCUGUGCUCAGCAAGCACCCCCAUCUCUGAACACAGGCUCACUGAUCAUUGGCCCAAACCAAGGUGAGGCCCAGGCCAUGGGAGGCAGGAGCUCGGGCCUCAGGUAUGGAUAAGCACAUGGGUGUGGGUUCUGCCUCUUAUCACUGCUGAACCUAGCCUGCAUCUCUGCAGAGUGAGGAUGGCGUUCAUGCCUAUGCCACGGAGUUACCAUGACUACUACAUCUCUGAUAGGUAGCACAGCUGGGCAGCAUCUGGCACACAGGAAGUGACUACCUUCUGAGGAGAGCACCUUUGUCUUAAAGCCAAGGACGUGAUCCCACCAUCCAUGUCAAGGACACUCUCUCUGCUCCAGGCAGGAAGCAAACCUAUUUAUAGACUAAGCUAUGUGCUGGUCUAGGUCAUCAAUAAAUUGCUGCCAUUACCCAGGACUGGGUGGGAAGGAAGCUCGUGGUAAGGCUAUCAUCUCCAGUAAGCUAGUGAGGAGGUGAUUUAAUAGCUUAUCUCAGGUAGUUCUGAACCUCCAUGUUAAACAUCCCCAAGGCCCUUGGAUGAUUCCAGAAGCUAUGUAGUGAUGCUCUGUCACACGCAGGGAUUGGGACUUGGUGGUGGCCAGGGUACAAACAGGCAAGGGUGUGGGAAGACUGCAGUGCUCUGGGAGCAGUCGGGGCCUCUGGGACCCUGCCACAAGCCUACUUCUCUGAGCUGCAUCUCCUGUCAAGAGGCCACAGCCUGGGGACAGCAGAGCUCCUCUCCAGGAACAGGAAGAGCAGCCCAGGAAACCAGACCCCGCGUCUCCAGCCUCAACGACCUCUUCCUGAGCAAAGGUUCAUGGGAUCCUUCCCGGUGAUGAGGCGGUGUGACAGGACUUAGGUUACUGAAAUGGAUGUCUCACUAUAAGAAAAGCUGGGAAGCCAGAUGCUGGUCUCCUCAAGAUGGCAAGAACUAAGGUGAGGGAGGAAAAUGUCUCUGAUAGGAUGACAUACACAAAGACCACAGUGCAUCUGACCCAUAGGCCCAGCUCUCAGAAAGCCACCCCUUCUUCCUCAUGCCCCAGCCAUAGUCCCAUAUACCAGCCCCACCCCCAACUCAGGACUCGUCUCCUGAUAGUCUCCGUAUUCCAUGGAUGAAUAUCCUCCAUAGCUCCAUGCAGGCCUUAUUCAAACAUCACCUCCUUACGUGGGCUUUCUCUGCCUACCUUGAGACAGUCUCCUCCCGUCACUGUAGCACAUACACACCCCCACGUCAACCGUGGUGCACAGAGAAUGCAUGUGACCCAAUUCUGACCCCUUCCCCAUCUAGCAAGAUGCUCCCAUCUCUCUGCUCAGCUUCCAAGGCAGACUCCAGCCACGGACUCUCAGGGAUCUUCAAAUCAGCUGUAGCCCCAGGAAUGCCCCCCUAGGGAUGAAACCAAGCUACUGUCACGCAGUUGUGCAUGUGCAAGCCUUUCAACCAGGGUGCAUGAAAAGCCUCCUCUACCAGCAUGGCCAUCAACCCCUCUGCCCAUGUCUUAGGCUCCUUACUGCCAGGGAGCAACGCUGGCUGUCAUGUUCACAGCUCCUCCGUUGGACUGUCUCCAGCAUAGAUGCUGUAGGGAUGUCAACGUCUGAAGUUAGAGGAGUCCUUGCCACGUGUGCACCUCUCUCUGUCUGGGACAGAUAAGGCACCUGCCCUGUGCGUUCUCGAAGCACACCUUCUCCUUGUUGGAGAGAUGCUCAGAAGAAAGAUGGAGGAGAUACAGCCAGACAUCGGCCUCUGUGUCACAGCCAGCUAUCACAGGAGCAGCAGACCCCCCCCACACACACACACACCUUGUGACACCUUCUAACGCACAUGGAAGCAUUGGCUGGUGCGCCUCAGCAGGGACACUGUCAUUAUAGCAGGAUGUGGCCAGGGCUUGGGUCCCCUCCUCUUUGUGUGCCUUGAUUUGAUAGGUGAGUAAAUGGAAGAGGGGAGGCGGUGCGUGAGAACCUGGCGCCACUCUGGACACCUAGGCAGAGUCUGAGUCCCCGGAGCAUCCUGUGUUUCCUGACCCACCCACUGGUAAUGGUCAGCUACUGCUCGGGCAUGGCUAAAGGGGAGUUCGUGGAAGAAACUGGUUUGUGGAUAGUGUGGAAAGUAAGACAAACUGUGUCAUAGAGGCAUAGAAAGCUGGGGUGUAAUCAGAAGGGAACAGAGGGUAGGGACAUCUGGAAGGUAGAACAAGAAGGCAGGGGCAGAGCUGUAGAUGACAGAGUCCAGAGAUUCCCCCAGCUCAGGAACUUCCAGUGUAAAGACAGAAAAGCUUUGGUUUUUUCAAGUAAAGCCUCCUUUG
rnacentral:lncRNA from 1 species